AAAUAAAUAAAGAAAACAACAAACAAGCAAGUAACAAGUAAGAAGAAUAGCAUAUUCGACGAAAAAUGUCCAGUUGUUCAGUCACAGCAGCAUUUUCUGAAAAUAAGACGAAGCACCUUUUCAUCGCACGACAUACGAGCAACUUCCAACGAACAUUUUUUUGUUCGCCUUAUCGUUAACUCAGAACAGCUCACGACAAAAAUAGUAGCGCUUACGACAAAAAUAAUAGCGCUUACGACAAAAAUAAUAGAGCGAACUCACGUGUGUAUAUGUAAACGCAAGCAUGUUUGUGCACGAGUUCAAAAGCAUUAGCAAAAAGGUUGACCAACUAAAAACUGUCAGUUUGUUGGGCAGUCAAAGUGUUAUGUUUUUUUUCUGUUUUUUUUCACUAUUGAGUGAGAACGUCAAAUAAGGCAAAUAAGGCAAGCCAUCAAAAAAUCCCAACAAAAAAAAAGUCUUUGUAUUUAUAUACAUAUAUCCGCGCCUGUAGGUGUGCACAUCGCCAUAAGCCGGUUUUUGUACAAAUUUUUGCCAGUUUUUAAUACUGAGCGCAGAGAAUAAAACUUUUUUUUUGUUGUCGUUCUCUAGACCCAUGAGUGGCUUUUUGAAUUUGCGAGAAUAAAAUUUCCUUGUUCUCUAGGCCACCGAGUGGCUUUUUCGAAUUUACUGUUUGCACAAGCUCUCGCGAGAUGAGUAAAUUUUAGAAAAUGUUUAGAUUUAUAUGCAAGCAAUUGUUUUUCUCUCAUUCUUAGGCGCGAGUAAAAAACAUAAUUUUUAUAAUAAGAAAAUUUUCUCUCAGAGCGAAUAAAAUUACAAUAACAACGGUGACAACUGCUGCCAAGUAAUCAAAUGAAAUUUGUCUCAAUCUAUAUUCGGAGAGUGAUUCGCGCGUAAAUUUUUUUUAUAUAUUGCACACUGCAAAGAAAUUUAUUUUGUUUGCGGUAGUGGUAUAUUGUGAUGAUUGUAAAUCGAGAGCAGCAGCAGCUUACAGUUUUCACAUUUUCACAGUCAUUUCCUCGGAUCGGAUAGAUGGUGUGUUUAGGUUUUGUGCAUAUGUGAAUUUUUAUUUCUUCUCCAAUUUUUUCGUGGCUUUGUAGUGUGUAAAAUAUAUAUAUACAUAAAUAUGCAAAAUCCAAAUUAGCAAUGCGCAUACAUAUGCACACAUACAUAUAAUCUGCAUUAAAUGCAUAAACCUAAUCGCCCAUCCAGUAAUAAGUUUACGUGCGUGCGUGCGUGUGCGAAUCUGUGCGGCUUUUAAAAUAAAGAUAAAAAAUUUUACAUUUUGCUUUCUGCGUUUAAAAUUCUUUUAAACAAGAGUAUGUGCAAAAAAAAAAAAAAAGAAGCAAGUGAACUUCUAAAAUUGUAACAUAGAAAAGAAGUAACAGUGAAUUAGUGAAAACCUUUGCAAGAAUGCAAAAACAAGUAUUCUCUUCUUCGUUCUAAGCGAGAGAAUGAACGCGCGCGACAGAGAGAGAAAGAGAGAGUGAGAGAAGAGAGAGAGAGAGAGUGAGGAGAAAUCAAUUAAAUUCAAUCAGCUGUUUUUCGGGUGCAAAUGCAAAUUUCUAUAACAACAACUACAAAGCAACGCAACGUCAAAAAAAAGUCAAUCUGUUUUUGUGAUAAUUAUCAAUGAAGGUUUUUUUGGUAUAAAAAAAAAAAAAUUAAAUAAAAAAAA